rnacentral:tRNA from 1 species
GCGGAGAUCGUCCAGCGGGAGGACGUCGGCGCGCCACGCCGAAGACGAGGGUUCGAGUCCCUCUCCCCGCACCA